rnacentral:rRNA from 1 species
GUUCGAUUAUGAAAACAGAUUGAACGCUGGCGGGAUGCUUACACAUGCAAGUCGAACGGCAGCACGGACUUCGGUCUGGUGGCGAGUGGCGAACGGGUGAGUAAUGUAUCGGAACGUGCCCUAGUAGCGGGGGAUAACUACGCGAAAGCGUAGCUAAUACCGCAUACGCCCUUCGGGGGAAAGCGGGGGACCUUCGGGCCUCGCACUAUUAGAGCGGCCGAUAUCGGAUUGCUUCUAGUUGGUGGGGUAACGGCUCACCAAGGCGACGAUCCCGUAGCUGGUUUGAGAGGACGACCAGCCACUGGGACUGAGACCACGGCCCAGACUCCUGCUGAGGCAGUGGGGAAUUUUGGACAAUGGGGAAACCCUGAUCCAGCCAUCCCGCGUGUGCGAUGAAGGCCUUCGGGUUGUAAAAAGCACUUUUGGCAGGAAAGAAACGGCACGGGAUAAUACCCCGUGCAACUGACGGUACCUGCAAGAAUAAGCACCGGUAACUACGUGCCAGCAGCCGCGGUAAUACGUAGGGUGCAAGCGUUAAUCGGAAUUACUGGGCGUAAAGCGUUGCGCAGGCGGUUCGGAAAAGAAGAUGUGAAAUCCCAGAGCUUAACUUUGGAACUACAUUUUUAACUACCGAGCUAGAGUGUGUCAGAGGGAGGUGGAAUUCCGCGUGUAGCAGUGAAAUGCGUAGAUAUGCGGAGGAACACCGAUGGCGAAGGCAGCCUCCUGGGAUAACACUGACGCUCAUGCACGAAAGCGUGGGGGAGCAAACAGGAUUAGAUACCCUGGUAGUCCACGCCCUAAACGAUGUCAACUAGCUGUUGGGGCCUUCGGGCCUUGGUAGCGCAGCUAACGCGUGAAGUUGACCGCCUGGGGAAAUUACGGUCGCAAGAUUAAAACUCAAAGGAAUUGACGGGGACCCGCACAAGCGGUGGAUGAUGUGGAUUAAUUCGAUGCAACGCGAAAAACCUUACCUACCCUUGACAUGUCUGGAAUCCCGAAGAGAUUUGGGAGUGCUCGCAAGAGAACCGGAACACAGGUGCUGCAUGGCUGUCGUCAGCUCGUGUCGUGAGAUGUUGGGUUAAGUCCCGCAACAGGCGCAACCCUUGUCAUUAGUUGCUACGAAAGGGCACUCUAAUGAGACUGCCGGUGACAAACCGGAGGGGAAGGUGGGGAUGACGUCAAGUCCUCAUGGCCCUUAUGGGUAGGAACUUCACACGUCAUACAAUGGUCGGGACAGAGGGUCGCCAACCCGCGAGGGGAGCCAAUCCCAGAAACCCGAUCGUAGUCCGGAUCGCAGUCUGCAACUCGACUGCGUGAAGUCGGAAUCGCUAGUAAUCGCGGAUCAACAUGUCGCGGUGAAUACGUUCCCGGGUCUUGUACACACCGCCCGUCACACCAUGGGAGUGGGUUUUACCGAAGUAGUUAGCUAACCGUAAGGAGGGCGAUUACCACGGUAGGAUUCAUGACUGGGGUGAAGUCGUAACAAGGUAG